AUUGAACGCUGGCGGCAGGCCUAACACAUGCAAGUCGAGCGCGCGGCGGACGGGUGAGUAAUGUAUGGGGACUGCCCGUUAGAGGGGGAUCACUACUGGAAACGGUAGCUAAUACCGCAUACUAUCGGCUACCCCAUAUGGGGUUAGCUAGUAGGUGGGGUAAUGGCUCACCUAGGCGCCGACCCCUAGCUGGUCUGAGAGGAUGAUCAGCCACACUGGGCCUGCGACAUGGCCCAGACUCCUACGGAGGCAGCAGUGGGGAAUAUUGCACAAUGGGCGCAAGCCUGAUGCAGCCAUGCCGCGUGUAUGAAGAAGGCCCUAGGGUUGUAAAGUACUGUCAGUCGGGAGGCGUUACCGACAGAAGAAGCACCGGCUAACUCCGUGCCAGCCGCCGCGGUAAUUC
rnacentral:rRNA from 1 species